GAUCGCUGUCAUCAGUCAAGGCUGCCGGAGGGUUGUUUUCACGAGUUCUCUCAAAUGCUGCAGGAGCUUAGGAACAGAAAACAGGAGCUGCCUUCGAGAUCUGUUCUGGCAUUGGAAGCAUCCCAAGGUUUCCAGGGUGUGAAUACUGACUUGUCAACCAAAGGGCACGCUCCUCAUUCUCUCAAUGCCUAUCCUGCCUCUUCCAACCCAGGUUCCCAACAGGAUCCUAGAGAGGCUGUUGGUGUGCUAUGGAGAAUACCCCAAACCUCUUCCUUGCCCAUCUCGCUUACAGAGUUGAGCUGCCAGAAGCCAGUCCAGAGCUCGCACUCUGGGCUCAGAGAUCCCCAGUGCCUAUCAGUCUAUUCACCUUCCAGCUCAUGUGAGAACUGUGAAGCCUCCACUUCCUCAAAUACCCACAGCACUGGGCUUUUGCGGGUUGUGAAUGAGAGAAGGCAAGUAAAGCAUUACCCAGGGAACCACACUGUAAUUAGUUCUUAGUACAUGGUGGUGACUCUCCCUUAUUUUCAUUAACACCACCACCAUCUUUAUCGUGUGAAGUGUCCUAGAAACACCAGCACAUUAAUAAUUAGAAGACAUAGGACCUAUAUGGCAGGCCACUGCCUGGCUCCAAUGUGCAGGUAGGAGAUGAGGCCUGUUUCCAGUACCCCAGGAUUGGUAUUGGGGAGCUCAGGGGUGGGACGAGAGGGAGGGACACCCCCAUGUUGUGCGUUCUGAAUUCCAAAAACCUUGAAGUUCAUUCUGAAGCCGAAGGGUGGCAGGGAUGGCAUCACUUUACUCUGGUGAUAUCAAUGGUUCCUGCUCAGCACUUUGUAUACCAUUUUCCUGAAAGCUUGGGAAAAAAGAUGUCGGUAAUAAGGGCUUUAUGGAGAAAAAUGUAACAAGAUUGAAGGGACUGAGCCCAGAUGUCUUUAAAAUGACUAAUAUCAGAGCAGAUGUCCAUAGCUCAGGAAAGUGGGCUGUGAAGUCAGGUGAAACAAGGAAAGAGAUCAUAUGGUUGAUGGAGAUACGAGAGGCAAACAGCAAGUUGUCCCUCCACUUGAGUCUGCCGUCCCAUCGCGUCAGCUGAGGAAGCUGACACUAGUGGGAAAUGUCCGAUGAGAUUUCCACAGAAACUGCGAAGACCCUAAUAUCCUGAAGGGGAGGGGCUGUUGAUGAGCUCAUUGAGAGGAGAACUGUGAAAGGACCACAACCUUGUCAGAAUUGGACAUCUCCCCAAUCCAGAAUAAGGAAGGGACGAGAAAGGCAGAGCAGUAGAUGGAGCAGAUGUGCAUAGAGCUCACAGUGAUGCUCAAUUGGAUUAGACUCACUUACCUUAGAAGUGUCCAAGUGUGCCUUGGCAAUCGUUGCCUCAUAGGUAUUCAUUCAUCCAUCCAUCUAGCCAUCCAUCCAUCCAUCCAUCAUCCACCAUCCAUCGUGCACACAUCCACAAGCCAUCCAUCCACCAUUUAUUCAUCCAUUCAUCUAUCCCUCAUCUGUU
rnacentral:lncRNA from 1 species